rnacentral:tRNA from 1 species
ACCUCCGUAGCUCAGCGGUAGAGCUGCCGCCUCUUAAGCGGCAUGUCGUACGUUCGAUCCGUACCGGGGGUA